AUUGAACGCUGGCGGCAGGCCUAACACAUGCAAGUCGAGCGAGCGGCGGACGGGUGAGUAAUGUCUGGGAAACUGCAUGUUGGAGGGGGAGAACUACUGGAGACGGUAGCUAAUACCCCAUACCAUCAGAUGUGCCCAAGUGGGAUUAGCUAGAAGGUGGGGUAAUGGCUCACCUAAGCGACGAUCCCUAGCUGGUCUGAGAGGAUGACCAGCAACACUGGAACUGAGACACGGUCCAGACUCCUACGGGAGGCAGCAGUGGGGAAUAUUGCACAAUGGGCGCAAGCCUGAUGCAGCCAUGCCGCGUGUGUGAAGAAGGCCUUCGGGUUGUAAAGCACUUUCAGCGGGGAGGCGUUAACCGCAGAAGAAGCACCGGCUAACUCCGUGCCAGCAGCCGCGGUAAUUC
rnacentral:rRNA from 1 species